AAAACGACUCUCGGCAACGGAUAUCUCGGCUCUCGCAUCGAUGAAGAACGUAGCGAAAUGCGAUACUUGGUGUGAAUUGCAGAAUCCCGUGAACCAUCGAGUCUUUGAACGCAAGUUGCGCCCCAAGCCGUUAGGCCGAGGGUACGCCUGCCUGGGUGUCACGC
rnacentral:rRNA from 2 species